rnacentral:rRNA from 1 species
UACGUAGGAGGCAAGCGUUGUUCGGAAUUACUGGGCGUAAAGCGCGUGUAGGCGGCUCUUCAAGUCAGACGUGAAAGCCCCGGGCUUAACUCGGGAACUGCGUUUGAUACUGUCGAGCUAGAGUGUGGAAGGGGCGAUUGGAAUUCCUGGUGUAGCGGUGAAAUGCGUAGAUAUCAGGAGGAACACCUGUGGCGAAGGCGGCCCUCUGGACGGAUACUGACGCUGAGACGCGAAAGCGUGGGGAGCAAACAGG